GUAUUUCAUUUAUGUGCCCAAAAAUCACCAUUUUUUGGGCUUGCAAUGAUAAGACCUGCACGCACUAACAAAACUAGCACAUAUUCCUUUACGUAUUUGUUCAUGCAAAGUAACACAACAUUUUGUAUGAACAGAAAAGGAAUAGGCAAGAUAAAAAGGAUGACCCUGUCUCAUCCAGAUCUAGGUACUUGGGGAAAUCCAAAAAGAAAGCAACCACUUAAAAUACAUAAAUAGAAAAUACAAGGAUAAAAGAACAAGGUUCAUUUUCAAAUCACAGUCACAUUUGAUUAUGCUAUGUUUUCCGCUCAAACACACAUCAAAAAAUUCACGCAGAAAGACAUUGCUAUUUACUAAUCACUAAUACAUACAUCAGCUUAGUGCAGACAAUAAAACAAUGGCAAUACAUCAGCUUAGUGCAGACAAUAAAACAAUGGCAAUAACAACAAUAUCUUGGUAGAGAAUAACAGCAAAGCACAUUGUCAUUAAUCAAUAAUGAAAAGGAUCAAGGAUGUAAAUGGCAAAAGAACAAUGCAAGAGGAAUCAAAAUGAGAAGAAACCUAUCUUCC
rnacentral:lncRNA from 1 species